CCCAUGCACAGCAGCUUGAAGCAGCUAGGGUAACAGCAGGUAACAAGAUUCGUCUUUGGAAUAAGGGUGUUGAUUCCGAAAGCUUCCAUCCCAAAUAUCGCUCUCAAGAAAUGCGAAUAAGACUAAGCAAUGGGGAGCCCGAGAGACCAUUGAUAGUCCAUGUUGGACGACUAGGAGUUGAGAAGAGUUUGGAUUUACUCAAAAGGUACUGCU